UUCCGUAGGUGAACCUGCGAAGGAUCAUUAAUAAAUGGUCUACGUUUUUUAAGUAGACGCUUAAUAAUCCUACCCUUGUGAAUUGUUGUUUGAAAUAAUUUUUUUUUAAAAUUAUUGAAUGUCUUCCCUGUUGAAUUGGUUGUCUUAAUGCAAAUGAUUCGCAGGGGAGUGUCAGUAAUUUUUAAAAGACUUUUUAAAUUAAACUUUUGUAUUCAUUUGUCUAAAUUAUUUUAUAAUAUAAAAACAUUUUGACAAUGGAUCUCUUGGUUCUCGCAACGAUGAAGAACGCAGCAAAAUGCGAUAAGUAGUGUGAAUUGCAGAAUACGUGAAUCAUCGAAUCUUCGAACGCAUAUUGCACUUUUUUAGUUACUAAAAAAGUAUGUCUGUUUGAGUAUCAGUAAAAUAUUCUCAUAAAACUUUUUGUUUUUAUGGUUAUGAGUGUUUACAACGAUACAAGUGUUUCACUUAAAUUUUUUUAAAUUGAAUUUUCUAAUUUUAAAAUAAAAUUGGAUAAAAUUUCCGUAAAAAGGAAUAACCUAAACAAUUUUAAUUUUGAUUAGAAUUCUUCAAUUAUAAAGGAAAUUUAACUAAAUAACUUGAUCUCAAUCAGAUAAGAGUACCCGCUGAACUUAAGCAUAUCAAUAAGCGGAGGAAAAAACUAACAAGGAUUCCCUAGUAACGGCGAGUGAAGCGGGAAGAGCUCAAAUUUGAAAUCUUCAAGGUUUUACCUUGACGAAUUGUAGUUUAAAGAAGUGUUUCUGUUGAAGUUUUGGUAAAGUUCUUGGAAUAGGACAUCAUAGAGGGUGAGAAUCCGUAUUUGACCAUUAUUUUCAGCUGUGUGAUACACUUUCAAAGAGUCGGAUUGUUUGGGAAUGCAGUCCAAAAUGGGUGGUAAUUUCAUCUAAGCUAAAUAUGGCGAGAGACCGAUAGCGAACAAGUACGUGAGGGAAAGAUGAAAAGAACUUUGAAAAGAGAGUUAAACAGUACGUGAAUUGUCAAAAGGGAAGCGUUUGACACCAGUGUUGUUUUCUCGAAAAUCAAUUAAAAAGAGUUGGAUUUUGUGUUGUAUUGACCUUAACAGCUUGCUUCACUCUUUCUUGCUUUUUUUAAUGCACUUUUCGUUUAACAAGUCAACAUCAGUUUUUUUGUUGUAAAGGGUCAUUGGAAGGUGGCUUUCUCUUCGGAGAAGUGUUUAUAGCUUUGAUCUCUGCAAUCGGAGAGACUGAGGUCUGCAGGUAGAUCCUUCGGGUUAGUACAUUUGUGCUAAGCUACAGCUUUUCAUAGACAACUUGUUGACUAUGUUUAGUCUUGUAACUACCCGCUUAUGCUAUUUUACCUACGCUUAGGAUG
rnacentral:misc_RNA from 1 species